NNNNNNNNNNNNNAUGGAUUUUCAGGUGUUUGCAAUCUUUAGAUAAGCUAUCUAGCUGAUCUCCGGCUAGCUGAAGCAGUCUCAGCUUGCUACUUCUCCACCAUCUUGACUCCUCCAAGGAGACCUUUAGAAACAACUUGUCAAGUCCUCACCAUGACUACCAUUGGAAUUGCAGUUGGAAUGGCAUUGAAUGCGUAGAUUUAAUUUUUGGAGAGCUAUCGUCUUUAUAAUCUCCUCAUACAUGAAUGUGAAGUGCUUCCUCCAUCCUGCAAGCUUCUGGGAACUCAGUGCCCAUUGUGUACAGGAUAUGUACCCAUUGAAGACCUUCAUGCCCUCCAAUAUAAGGCUAACUGUGUUCUCACUACAGAAGUUUAGAAUCAGAGAGGAGGAUCUGGUAGAAGACUUCAUGGGGGGAGAAGAAAAGGCAAGAAGCGGACAAGGACUACAGCCUGUCUUCAUCUCAACUUCACAAAGCAUGGUUCAGCAGAGGGAUCAUCCUCUUGAGACUCUCCAGACCACAGGUUGCUCCUUUCAGUUGCAUGCUUAGCCCUCUCAGGUAUUUUCUCUGUUCAGAAAUUGUAUUAUAUGUGUAUAUACGAACUAUCACUUCCAUAAAGAGUACUCCACAUUCCCAGGGGGAAAAAAAUCCCUAAAAUAAGGUGUAAGGCUUGCUCUGUUAGGUUUCCAAUUGUCAGAAAUUGCUGGAUUCCCCAAUGCUGGGGUAUAGGCCACCAGAGAAGAGUUUGGGUUUCAACAGCAAAGGACCCCAGCAUCAUGGAAGGAAGGCAGUCAGCUGACUUGAAAGUAACCCCCAUCCCUGUACUUCAUAUUAUUACUACUUUUUCCUUCUGCUCCUUGUCUAAGAUACCACUGGCGACAGCAAACCAAAGCCAUACUCUCUUCUCCCAAUGGCACUUUUCUGGCCUGAGUGAAUGCUGUUAGAAGUCACUCUUUCAUUAGCACGUCCUUCCCAUUUCUUAAGACCCAGAUAGUCAUGAAUGCUAGAGUUGGCGUUGAAUUUGCCCUACUUGGCCUCUGUGGUUGGGGAAUACUAAUGUUAAUCAGCCUCAUACCCACUCACUCCUGAUUUCAUGACAGAUGCUAGAGAAGCUGUAGCCAAGGCUGGCAACCCUGUAGACCCCAGCUCCAGGAUUUAAUUGAUGUCUCAGCUGGUUACAGAAUACUGGUAGGAGGGCUUGCCUUAACCCAGCCCCCCUUCUGAGUUAGUCAUCAGAAAUCAGGACUUGUCUUAGGGCAUAUGUUACAUAAGGACAGAUACCUCAGGGAUUAAUAGUAAACAAGAUUAGGAGUCCAAGUUACCUUUUCUCUCUCUUGGGGAUGGGUGGCAUAGGGUAAGUGGAAAGUCUUGUGACUUUCAAAUAUAUUCCCAGUGAUUCCUCAGGAUACCCUGGGUCACACCAUCUGCUAUCUUAUUCUGGGUAUUGCCUUUCCUUCAGAGUUUUUCUAGUGCUCUUCUUGGCUCUCCCUAACCACCUUUCAUUCCCUGCCCAACCCUGUUGGGUUUCAGCGGGUGUUUUGUUUUGUUCUUUUCCUUUCCCUUCCUCAGGCCACCUGUGACAGUCGUCACUUGGGGGGAGCCUUGUUGUGAAUGAGUGAAUGAAGCCUCAGUGAGUGAGUGGAGUGGCACUCAUGUUUUUCUCUGAAUAUAAGGAGAGGGAAGGAGGCCAUGAAAUCCCAUAAUGGAGUAACAAAAAUUUGACAUUUUAGUAGAUACUGGACCUAGAAGCCUACGUGAAUGAGGGAAACAAACCUGAGAGAUCUUGGAUGUGACUGAAUGAAGAUAGGAGUGAACUCCUUAUUACCCUUAGUAAUGGAGGAAGAGGGGAAAAAGUGUGAGGGAGGUCAUAAAAUCCUUUAUGUCCCCAGAGGAAGCCCUGAAAUCAGCUUCAUAAACCAGUGACUUUUUAAGGUGGAUUAAAGAUGAGUUGUUGCACUGCACUACUUCCGUUGCUGUUUGUGUUGAGAGUUGCUGUUCCAAGCCGUUUUCUCAGGUACAGCUGCCUUUGUGGAGACUCCUCUUGACCCCUAUUGAGAAACAGCCCAGAACGAGGUUUGCAACUUAGAACUCUCUGGAUCAGUGACAGAGUUUUAAAGGGGUCGAGGACAGAGGAGGUAGCACAAGUAAUACCAGAUAUCUCAGGUAUAUAUAUAUAUAUAUAUAUAUGGGAUGGAUGGGAUAGAGGUGGAGAGCACAAUGGUUUUAGGCAACUCCUAACACCUGGUGAGGCAUAAGGAAACAGUACACUGAGAGGUCAGCCCUUCAGCAUAUUAUUUGUCAAUCUCCAGAGCAUGAUAGAAUAUCUAAAAGUUGUAAAAGAUUCUUUCCUAGAAGAGAUUCAGAAGAGGGGAACUUCCCGUUAUGUAAUGUGGGUAUUACAGCUUUUAAAGAGUUCCCUACAUAGGUCAUGGAGAUUGUUACUCAUAUCAGCCUGUGGGUGACCAGGCGAGUAUUAACUUCGAGGUUUCAUGCCCUUGGAGAGAUCCUGCCACUCUCUUGCUUUGACAGGUGUUCAUCUGCAGAAUGAGUCCAGUACUUGAAGAAGUAAGAGGACAACAGGCAUCAGGGGACAACAGUGUGGUCUUCUAACUGAAGAUGGCAACAGAAAAGAUCAUGGACUUGGCUGGUUUGGGCUGGGCUUAUUUGCUGUUUCAGAAUUUAAAAAAUACUUUUUUUUUUCUUGACAGUAAAAGUAACAGAUGAUCAUUGUUGAAAAAGGUAUAAAUAAAAAAAUCAAGAACACCUGUAAUCUUACAACCCAGAAAACAACUCAACAUUUGAGUGUUUCCUUUUGCCCUUUUAAAAAAGAAUCUCUGUAACACAGUUUUUCACAUUUUUAUUUUAAUUUCAGUUAGUAAACCUGCAGUGUUCUGUUCAUUUCGGAUGUACAAUUUAAAAACAAAAUUGACAUCAUAUUGCAUGUUUUCCAUUUUUCUUUAUUUGAAAAUAACGUAUUUCCAUGUCAUUACCAUUCUUUGAAAACACAGUAUUGGUACAUGGUAUUUCAUAGGGAUCUAACAAAAUUUAGGUAGAUAAUUGAAUGCUGCUGGACAUUUUGCAUAUUACCAAUUUUGCCUAUAAAAUUGUAAUAAACAUUGUAUAUUAAUCACUGUGUACAUUUCUAAUUAUUUCUUCCCAGUAAAUUUCUGGAAUUGGAACUACUGGGUUUGAUGAGAGCAAUAUUAGGGCAUCUGAAAGGUACUGUUGAAUUGUCCUCAGUAUAGUUGUAAAAAUUCAUUCCCGUCAUUGGUGUAUGUACGUGCACGUUUCUCCACACAUUUCAUCAAAAUAUGGCCUUUCCUCUCUUUUUAUAAAUCUUUGCUCAUUUAAUAGGUAAAUGUAAGAGAUUUAUUGGUUGAUUGAUUUAUAUAUUUAAGAGGGAGAGCAUGUGCAUGUGUUGGGGGAGGAGCAAGGGGAGAAGCAGUCUUCUUGCUCAGCAGGGAGCCGAAUGCAGGGCUCGGGACCCUGGCAUCAUGACCUGGGCCAAAGGCAGACCCUUAACUGACUGAGCCACCCGGAUGCCCCUGUUCUAUGGGUUUUGACCUAAGGCAAAGCCAAGAGUUGAAUAUUAACCUACUGUGCCAUGCAGGCACCCCUCACUGUUCUUUAAGUUUUUAAAUUCCAGUUAACUUACAUUGUUCUAUCAGUUUCAGAUGUGCAGUAUAGUAUGUACAUAUAUAUAUAUAUGUGCUGUCACAACAGCGGCUGUGAUACCAAAAUCUCUCUUCUUUCUGGAUAGCACCACCGGUAACUUGUCCUCUGGAAUAGAAACUGGGAUAGGAACAUGGGUAGGGAUACGCAUAAUCACAGCCAGCUUGAAGGCCGUGACAUUCCAGCACUGGGAAAGAUAGCAAUUCUUAGUGCAAUUCAACAUAUCAUUCAGCUCGCUAGCAUUUGUUACGAGGAAAAGGAACGGUGGCGAGACGCAAAUGGGAGUGGGCUGAUAAGUAAUAUUAUUGGGACAAGACACAUUAACUGUUGUCUCAAAGGUACUAGAGUCAUUUUAAGAACAGUUGAGGAAUUUGCCACCAUUUAACAUGGACACUGCUGAGAUAUCAGUACAUGCUCCUAGCAAGUUACAGACCUGCCGUGCAUCAAAGGAAGAGGAGGGAUUGCCUUGCUUAGGAUUUUGAAAGGAAUAAUUGUACCCUGAAAGGUAUUAUUUUUAUAACUAGGAAAGCGUGGAGUGAAUGUAAAGCUAUGCAUUUCAUUGAUGUAAACUGAGCGCAAGGUACUCUGACAUCCAGACCACUCCGGUGGCCAUACCCUGUUAUUGGUGCACCUGAGGAACUUAAAGGGUUGAUAUGGCCCCGAGGCAUUAAUAGGUUUCACAGGGGCCAAACCCUGGAUCACAGGUGGUCCCAUUGAGGUAUGUUUAGCAAGCCUUCAUCUGGGAACCAUGGAGCCGCCUUUUCCACUGUAUUCAAAAAGGCCCGAGCAGUUUUUGCUUUUAGUGGAGUUUCAUUGGCUUUCAGCAGGUCUUUUAAAGACCCUUCCAACCGCACUUUAGAUACUUCAGAUCCCAUUAUGAACACACAGACAACAGACG
rnacentral:lncRNA from 1 species